rnacentral:rRNA from 1 species
UACGUAGGGGGCUAGCGUUGCUCGGAAUCACUGGGCGUAAAGGGUGCGUAGGCGGGUUUUUAAGUCAGGGGUGAAAUCCUGGAGCUCAACUCCAGAACUGCCUUUGAUACUGAAGAUCUUGAGUUCGGGAGAGGUGAGUGGAACUGCGAGUGUAGAGGUGAAAUUCGUAGAUAUUCGCAAGAACACCAGUGGCGAAGGCGGCUCACUGGCCCGAUACUGACGCUGAGGCACGAAAGCGUGGGGAGCAAAGCAGG